AACGUAGGAGGCAAGCGUUAUCCGGAUUUACUGGGCGUAAAGGGCGCGCAGGUGGCGGUGUUGGCCCGGCGUGAAAGCCCCCGGCUCAACCGGGGAGGGUCGUCGGGGACCGCACCGCUUGAGGGCGGUAGGGGCUGGUGGAAUGCCUGGUGUAGUGGUGAAAUGCGUAGAGAUCAGGCGGAACACCCGUAGCGAAGGCGGCCAGCUGGGCCGUCCCUGACACUGAGGCGCGAAGGCGUGGGGAGCGAACGGG
rnacentral:rRNA from 1 species